rnacentral:rRNA from 1 species
UACGAAGGGUGCAAACGUUGCUCGGAAUUAUUGGGCGUAAAGCGCACGUAGGCGGCAUUGCAAGUCGGAUGUGAAAUCCCUCGGCUUAACCAAGGAAGUGCAUCCGAAACUGCAGUGCUUGAGUACUUAAGAGGAUCGCGGAAUUCCCGGUGUAGAGGUGAAAUGCGCAGAUAUCAGGAGGAACACCGGUGGCGAAGGCGGCCCUCUGGGACGGAUACUGACGCUGAGGAGCGAAAGCGUGGGGAGCGAACAGG